UUACAGAACCAGCUGCAGGCAAGCGGGAACCAGAUUCCUGGCUAAACCUCCUUCUGCCUGGCAAGCAGCUGGUUCAGCUGUGGGGCUAGUCCUUGGGAGGGUGACGGGCACUGGAGAGUUGAGUCCAUAGAAGAGGCAGGAGUAGAAGGCAAUGGAGCGGUGAAGUCUCUGCAGGGGAACAGAGGAGAGAGCAAAGGCCAAAGGGCAGGGAAAGGAGUCUUGCCAUGUGUCCUCAUUUGCGGGAUGUGAGAAGGAAGCAGAUUGCAAGCAGACGUCAGCUGGAAUAAAGACAGCAGUGUCACCGAGGCCAAAGGGAGACAGCACUGCAUAGAAGCAUCAGAGACGCCCAACUGUACGCUUGUCUGCCUCCUGCAAUACAGACAGCUGCACGGAUCCAGGGGCACGGGGUGCUCAACCGUGUCAGAUGCUUCAGGAAUGUUAAAAGAGAAUGCAGCCAGGCCGCAGGAUUUGCCACUGGAGAUCAUGGAGAGCGCAUUUCAGAAGCAUGCUGUGAAGGGAAGCUGACAGAGAGUGGGAAGUGAGGAAAUGGAAGACGGGAGGACAGACCACUCUUGAGAUACUUGGCAAUGAGAAGAAUGAGUGCUUAAAGAUGAACAGAGACAAGCCAAUGAGAGGAAUGAGCGCUUAAAGAUGAAGAGAGAGACAAGGAAGGCUUAAAGCAUCUCUAUUCAUAUAGAACCCAGAAAACAUGUCUCCUUGGAUAUGCCAUGUGGCCUCUCGGUUUCACCAGGCAUCUUGAAACAUCGAGGGCAAGUAAGAGAGUUGUCCAUUCAUAUCUUCAUCACCAAUAUUAAGUUUCUUUUAAAAAUUCAACAUUUGCUGGGUAGAAAAGUCUCUACAAUAGCACAACAUGCUUGUCUGCUUUUCAGUCCAUUCUGUGUGUAAUUCCUGGGGUUUAUGAGAUCGAAAAAUAACUCCAGUUGUGGCCAUUUAUCUAGUUUUGUGGCAGCUGCAAAUUCGGUUGCUUCAGAAACCACCUAAUCUUCAAUCUCCCAACUACUUUUAAUGGCUGGAUUAAUGGACUAACCACUUACAUGUGAAAAUCCAUCUUGGCUCUAUUAUCAGGACCGUGGACAAUGGGCAGAUGGACAGACGAUUUACUGAUUUACAAACUAUUACCAUCUUUGACAUUUCUUUGAAAAAAAAAAAGACGCUUCAGAUCGUUUCGUAUUUCAACGAUGACUUAGUUUUAUGAGAGAGAGAGAGAGAUGUUUUAAGGGAACAAAUGAGAGGCAGUGUUUUUUUGUUUUUUGUUUUUUAAAUGAGAUACCUUGGAAAACAGCAUACAACGCCACAUGCAGACCUCCACAAUCAGGAGGAAUACGAAUUCAUUUGAAAGUCUCUCUCUUUUGGACAAGAAUAUGCUAGACUCCCACAGCUCAUAUGUACUUGAUAGAAAAUGUAAACAUUGAUUUGAUUUCGGCUCAGCUUCAAAACAGUAGUAAGGCAUUAAUUAGAAAAGAUUAUUCCAUAGUUGUUCUCCUUUAUUCUUUUCUUACCUGGUCAAGAACUAAAUGAACUCAAUGUACUCUUGUGGAUGAAUGAAGGGCAACUCCCUCUGGGAAGAUUCCUUAUAUUAACGCAAACCCCUGAUCCCUUCCAGUGAACUCAAAACCCUAAGCCGAGGCUGAGAAGCAGUCGGUUCUUGGCAUGAAGAGGAUGGCUGUAGGCUGAGGUCUGAAGGGAGAAGUCAGGUUAAAGAGAAGUGUUUGCUGCAGGGUAGUGGGGUGGACAGAGACCUGAGACCCUCGGGAGUAGCCCGCUGGGCUGUGCCCUUCAAAGUCUCUGACCAGUUCUGGUUCCAGCAUUUUCUGGGCAAUGCCAUCACAAGCCCCUGUGUCAAGGACACCUACUGCCAAUUUUGGCAAGUUUAUUUUUCCUGCUGUUGAGUCAGACAAGAAGGCCCAGGCCCAGGAUGUGAAGAGCUUAGGGGCUUUCAAAGCCACAGAGGGCCUGGCCUAUCAGGUCUCCGCAGGAACACGGCUCAUAAAAUGCAUUUGCUCCUCAGUUGGAGCCCCAGCUGGCAAUCCUAGACAGAACAGGCGAAGGCCACAGGAAGCUGCGGGGUGGCGUGGAACUCUGAAAAGACUCCUCCCUUGUGCCAUUCCGGGCCAGAACAGAGAUUUCACAUUUUGCUGGCUUAGGGUGGGGACAUGGCAUUGCCUUCACAGGCUGAAAUCAUCACAUUUGAAAGCUGGAACAAGCAUCUUUUGAAUGGGCAUAACGCGAUUGCUGGGCCGGUUUCUGCAGAACGGAGUGACAGGUCACCGUGCCCUCCCAGAUGCAGGCUGCCUGCCGCCUUCCUGCAGCAUCCCCUGCUUCCUGGGGACCAGGGCACUGACGCUCAGUUCAGCCUUCAAGUGCCGGGAAACCUGUGGUCCCCCUGAGGCACUCCUGGGAGAGUGAAUGCAGAUGAGUUUUUAAACAGCAGAAUGAGUGUGUGUUUGUGUGUGUUUGAUAAUGGUCCAAACUUUAAUAGCAUGGUAAAAUAUUUACUUUACUUUUUAUAGCUAGCAUGUAAUCAAUCGCUAACACACUGAAAGAAGUUAGAAACACCAAUGUCUACUCAGCCACAGCUAGAAGGAACCAUUCGACAUUUACAAACGUAAGUGUAUACAUAUUUAUGUACAUGUCACAUAUAGGUUCAUGGGAAAUGCAGAGCCAUCACCUCGCCAGGUGAGCCGCCGCCCGACCAUCCCUCCUGCCCAGCAGAAGUGGGCGCCCCUGGGGGCAUCAUCACUCAUUCCUCUGACGCUGGGUUUCUUUUCCAAGCCACAGAGGACAGGGCUGUGGGCUUCUCUCUGGUUUUGGUUUUAAAGACAUUAAUUAUCUAGCAAAUUGGCCCAUUCAAGUUAAUCUCCCUCUUGACCCUGAAUAGCCUUGAUUCAUGUCACCAAAAUUCCCAAUCCCCUAUUGGAUAAAUGAUGCCAAGUGUGUACCAGGGACAGGGUUGGAGGUGGGGAAAUUGAUAAUAAAUAUUAAGUAAAUGUCCAUUGUGUGAAGACAAGUGAGUGGUGAUCCUGGCGUCUGGGAUUUUUUCAUAAUGAGGUGGGAAGAAGGGCUGGUCACAGGAGAGCGGCAACCACUGAAUUAGGAAAUGUUAGAAGUGGGAGGCCUCUGAAGACCAUGAUUUUCCUUUCCAGGGGAUGGAGUUGGGAAUGGACUGGGCCAUACAUGGGACCGGAGUGAGGGUUGAGCUGGAUUCAUGGUCACCCAUGGAGCACCCUUCUCGUCAGGGCCAACUCCUUCCUGGGGCUUCUGGGGAGCAGGUGGAAGGAGGCAAGGAGCAGAGAUGGUUUGGGAAGUUGUGGAAGCUCCUUUGUGGGGCUGUCACUUUAGCCUCACAUGUAGUGUGGGCAAGGAGAAUCCCUGUGAGUUGGUGCCUGUGCGCGUGUGUGGUUGUGUGAGGACGGCACUGCCCCACUAAUUACAAAUUGCAGGUGGGUACAAGUAGUUAGGUGGUUCAGAAAAUCAAAACUGGUUACACAGAAUGGACCUAUUCCAUUUUCUAUACGUGCAUGCAGUGUGAAAAUAAAGACGGCUCGAUGAUAUCACAGUGCAAGAACUCUGCAGGCCUUUAGAGCAUGAAUUAUUUUGUGACCUGUGAAUUGCCUUCAUUCCAAAUAAAACUUGUAUGCUUUUCUUUUUCCUGUCUUCUUUUCUUUUAUAUAAAAUGGCAACUCUUUCUCAGGAGAAAUAGCCUUUUUCCAUAAAUGCAAAUCAUUUGGGGUUACUUGUAUCAAUGGUCAAUGUGCCUUGUCUUUCAUAUGGUUAUAAGGAGCAGGGCCAUGGCUUUGAACUUGAGUAGCUUUAGCUGUUAGAUUUAUGGUCUGGAAAGAAGUCAGGAGAGGAGUUGCUGUGUCCCCUGUGGCUGCCUCCAUAGUGACACACUCCCUAAGUCCAGAGCCAGUUCCCUUCUAGGCGAUCAAUGAAAGUGAACAAAGUGGUCAUUUUCUUAAUUUCAUUCUGAUUAGUGUCCAGGGAAGGAUGAUGACCUAUAUGAUCUCAGCCCAAACCAUAAGCCGAUUUCUCCUCCUCAUUUUCUGAUACCUUUACUAGGACCUCAAGUUGCACUUCUGGGAUUAAGUGACACGUUAACACAGAAGGAAGCCCAGAAGACUCCGGACAGAACCUCUUCUCCCUGAGCGUCCCCUCCCCUCUCCCUACUUCCAAUCAACUGUUGCACGGCAAACUGCAAACGCAGAGCAAAUUCCACUAAGAUGGUGUCAAAAAGAGAUAAUUAAA